rnacentral:lncRNA from 1 species
GUACAUGAUAGGCAUAUUUAUUGAUUGAUAAAGGCUUGGAGGAGAAGCCUGAAAUAGGACUGGCUUCCUGGGUCGCCAAGAGACAUUUUGCUCUUAUUGCAAAACAUAUUUGCACCUCUUUAAUUUCUAAGGCUCUUGGAAUCUUACACUGUUCUCCACCCAGGCUCCCCCUACCCCAGUCAUGUACCCUGUGGGCAGUACCCCUUCGCCAGAAGCCCAGACAACACUUAUCUAUGCAUGACGCCGGUUUUAUUGAUUAUAUGUGGCAAGUGUUUCUUUCUAGCUUGUCUUUAUCUUCCCCUCUAGCAGUUUUUGGGCACCUUUUCUCCAUUAGCAAUUGAUAUGUGUUAUGUGCCUCCAGAAGGCAGGCUCAUUUUAACCUUAGUUUAAGCAAAUCAUGUGGAAAAGUGAAUUUCCUUUCCAAGCAUAUUCCAAAUUGAUAAAAAAUGAUUUUUGGAUUAUAUUCUCUUGGUUUAUCUUUGUCCCUUUUUAUUUUGUUAUUGCAGAAAUCACAAAGCAGACUGGGGAUUAGAAACAACAAGGAAAUAGGGAUAAAGAGUGUCCCUUAAAAAAGUGGUGGCGGAGGCUCUUUGUUGUACAUUAUGAUGCAUGAGCUGGGGUGAGGCAGAUUUCUAGUUUUGGUUGUGGUGUUUGGCCCAGCCACCUUCUUUUGGACGAAAGCCACUAAAAACAUGAAACAUUGACCUCCUGUCCUACUCUAGUCUCUCACAUCUGUCUGAAGAUCUGGAUAAUUGGUGGGUGUGGAAAGAAAGCCAUGGAGGACUUAUAUCCAUCUGGAGAGUGGAAAGAACUCUGCAAGCAGGGAAAUCACAGAAUAGAAGAAGAAAAAAUUAAAAGACAUCAUUGGAACUUACAGAAGAAGGGCCAUGUGAAGACACAAAGAGAAGAUUGCCAUGUACAAACCAAGGAGACAGGACUCUGAAGAAACCAAAACUGCCAAUGACUUGAUCUUGGGCUUCUAGCCUUCAGAACCGUGAUAAAUAUUUUUGUUUAAGCCAGAAAUAAAAAGACAUAAUUGAUUUUUUUAAAAAGCCA